rnacentral:rRNA from 1 species
CACGUAGUUAGCCGGGGCUUCUUAGUCAGGUACCGUCAUUUUCUUCCCUGCUGAUAGAGCUUUACAUACCGAAAUACUUCAUCGCUCACGCGGCGUCGCUGCAUCAGGGUUUCCCCCAUUGUGCAAUAUUCCCCACUGCUGCCUCCCGUAGGAGUCUGGGCCGUGUCUCAGUCCCAAUGUGGCCGUCCACCCUCUCAGGCCGGCUACUGAUCGUCGGCUUGGUGAGCCGUUACCUCACCAACUACCUAAUCAGACGCGGGUCCAUCUUACACCACCUCAGUUUUUACCUCUGUACCAUGCGGUACCGGGGUCUUAUGCGGUAUUAGCAGUCAUUUCUAACUGUUAUCCCCCUGUGUAAGGCAGGUUACCCACGCGUUACUCACCCGUCCGCCGCUCAGUCACAAAAUUUUCAUCCGAAGAAUCAAACUUAUGCGCUUCGCUCGACUUGCAUGUGUUAAGCACGCCGCCAGCGUUCAUCCUGAGCCAGGAUCAAACUCU